UCAGAACGUAGUCAAAACAUUAUGGCUGCCGAUUGUUGACAGCAUCUCUGUUCGAUUUUUUACAUAAAGUAAAUAAAGCAUAUUAUUUUUAAUACAAAAUACAAUGAGUUGUGUACUUCGAGGUUGUAAAAGUGCAUGGUAUCCAAAUUGUGGUGUGAAAUUUCACGGGUUCCCUAGUGACCCUGACCUGAGGCAAGCUUGGUUAUCUAAAAUACCAUUAAAAUCAAAUUAUUAUAAAUCUGCCAGAAUUUGUAGCCUACACUUUCGAUCUGAACUUGAAGACUAUGAUGUCAAUAGACCUGACCGCUUAUUGAAAUCUGCUAUACCAAAGAUUUGUGGGUGUUGCGAAACAUUGGAAUGUCUUAAUAUUCCUUCAAGCUCACAAGAAACUCCUUGCGCUAAAGCGUCAGCAAUGCCGAUACUUGAAAAAUAU